rnacentral:rRNA from 1 species
CAGUCGAACGGUAGCACAGAGGAGCUUGCUCCUUGGGUGACGAGUGGCGGACGGGUGAGUAAUGUCUGGGAAACUGCCCGAUGGAGGGGGAUAACUACUGGAAACGGUAGCUAAUACCGCAUAACGUCGCAAGACCAAAGAGGGGGACCUUCGGGCCUCUUGCCAUCGGAUGUGCCCAGAUGGGAUUAGCUAGUAGGUGGGGUAACGGCUCACCUAGGCGACGAUCCCUAGCUGGUCUGAGAGGAUGACCAGCCACACUGGAACUGAGACACGGUCCAGACUCCUACGGGAGGCAGCAGUGGGGAAUAUUGCACAAUGGGCGCAAGCCUGAUGCAGCCAUGCCGCGUGUAUGAAGAAGGCCUUCGGGUUGUAAAGUACUUUCAGCGAGGAGGAAGGUGUUGUGGUUAAUAACCGCAGCAAUUGACGUUACUCGCAGAAGAAGCACCGGCUAACUCCGUGCCAGCAGCCGCGGUAAUACGGAGGGUGCAAGCGUUAAUCGGAAUUACUGGGCGUAAAGCGCACGCAGGCGGUCUGUCAAGUCGGAUGUGAAAUCCCCGGGCUCAACCUGGGAACUGCAUCCGAAACUGGCAGGCUAGAGUCUUGUAGAGGGGGGUAGAAUUCCAGGUGUAGCGGUGAAAUGCGUAGAGAUCUGGAGGAAUACCGGUGGCGAAGGCGGCCCCCUGGACAAAGACUGACGCUCAGGUGCGAAAGCGUGGGAGCAAACAGGAUUAGAUACCCUGGUAGUCCACGCCGUAAACGAUGUCGACUUGGAGGUUGUGCCCUUGAGGCGUGGCUUCCGGAGCUAACGCGUUAAGUCGACCGCCUGGGGAGUACGGCCGCAAGGUUAAAACUCAAAUGAAUU